UCUAUACAUGCAGUCGAACGCUUUGUGCUUAAUUGAGAUGACGAGCUUGCUCUGAUUUGAUUUACAUGAUUUCAAAGAGUGGCGAACGGGUGAGUAACACGUGGGUAACCUACCUCUUAGCAGGGGAUAACAUUUGGAAACAAGUGCUAAUACCGUAUAAUAUCAACAACCGCAUGGUUGUUGAUUGAAAGAUGGUUCUGCUAUCACUAAGAGAUGGACCCGCGGUGCAUUAGCUAGUUGGGUAAGUUAAAGGGCUUACCAAGGGCAAGAUGCAUAGCCCAGUUGAGAGACUGAUCGGCCACAAUGGGACUGAGACACGGCCCAUACUCCUACGGGAGGCAGCAGUAGGGAAUCUUCCACAAUGGGCGCAAGCCUGAUGGAGCAACGCCGCGUGUGUGAUGAAGGGUUUCGGCUCGUAAAACACUGUUAUAAGAGAAGAACGGCACUGAGAGUAACUGUUCAGUGUGUGACGGUAUCUUACCAGAAAGGAACGGCUAAAUACGUGCCAGCAGCCGCGGUAAUACGUAUGUUCCAAGCGUUAUCCGGAUUUAUUGGGGCGUAAAAGCGAGCGCAAGACGGUUAUUUUAAAGUCUGAAAGUGGAAAAGCCCCUCAGCCUCAAACUGAAGGAAAUUGCUUUUGGGAAAACUGGAUGACUUGAGUGCAAGUAAAAAGGAAAAGUGGGAAACUCCCAUGGUGGUAAGCGGGUGGAAAAUGGCGUAGAAUAUUAUUGGGAAAGAAACACCCAGUUGGGCGAAAAGGGCGGGCUUUUUCUUGGGAACUGGUAAACUGGAACGUUUUGAAGGGCUUCCGAAAAGGUGGUGGGGGUAAGCCAAACAGGAUUAGAUACCCUGGUAGUCCACACCGUAAACGAUGAGUGCUAGAUGUUCGAGGGUUUCCGCCCUUGAGUGUCGCAGCUAACGCAUUAAGCACUCCGCCUGGGGAGUACGACCGCAAGGUUGAAACUCAAAGGAAUUGACGGGGACCCGCACAAGCGGUGGAGCAUGUGGUUUAAUUCGAAGCAACGCGAAGAACCUUACCAGGUCUUGACAUCCCUUGCCAACGCUAGAAAUAGCGUGUUCCCUUCGGGGACAAGGUGACAGGUGGUGCAUGGUUGUCGUCAGCUCGUGUCGUGAGAUGUUGGGUUAAGUCCCGCAACGAGCGCAACCCUUAUUAUUAGUUGCCAGCAUUUAGUUGGGCACUCUAGUGAGACUGCCGGUGAUAAACCGGAGGAAGGUGGGGAUGACGUCAAAUCAUCAUGCCCCUUAUGACCUGGGCUACACACGUGCUACAAUGGCAUAUACAACGAGUCGCUAACCCGCGAGGGUACGCUAAUCUCUUAAAGUAUGUCUCAGUUCGGAUUGUAGGCUGCAACUCGCCUACAUGAAGUCGGAAUCGCUAGUAAUCGCGGAUCAGCACGCCGCGGUGAAUACGUUCCCGGGUCUUGUACACACCGCCCGUCACACCAUGAGAGUUUGUAACACCCAAAGCCGGUGGGGUAACCUUUUAGGAGCCAGCCGUCUAAGUGGACAGAAUAUUGG
rnacentral:rRNA from 1 species